AUUGAACGCUGGCGGCAGGCUUAACACAUGCAAGUCGAGCGAGCGGCGGACGGGUGAGUAAUGUCUGGGAAACUGCCUGAUGGAGGGGGAUAACUACUGGAAACGGUAGCUAAUACCGCAUACCAUCGGAUGUGCCCGGAUGGGAUUAGCUAGUAGGUUGGGUAAAGGCUCACCUAGGCGACGAUCCCUAGCUGGUCUGAGAGGAUGACCCGCCACACUGGAACUGAGACACGUUCCAGAAUCCUACGGGAGCCAGUCGUGGGGAAUAUUGCACAAUGGGCGCAAGCCGGAUGCAGCCAUGCCGCGUGUAUGAAGAAGGCCUUCGGGUUGUAAAGUACUUUCAGCGGGGAGGCGUUACCCGCAGAAGAAGCACCGGCUAACUCCGUGCCAGCAGCCGCGGUAAUAC
rnacentral:rRNA from 1 species